AUUAAAUUGAGAUGGAGAUGAAUUUAUAAUUUUCCACUCACAGUUCAGGAGGACUUCUUGGCCGUUAAAGGAUGAAGACCAAGUUGGUUUAUCGAGAUUGAACAAUGAUAUUGAGUGAAGAACAGUUGUAGGAAAGUUGAAGGUUGCUCACUAAUGUUGAAGGAGUUGAUAAUUUGGACAGCUUCAUAUGG